UACCAAUAUCAACAAUGUAUUUGAUUAUGUAUGCUUAGGUGUACAAAAAUGCUUAUGUAUGUUUAUGUAUACAUGAGAUGAAUGAUGGCAGUGACACAGGGAUGAGAGGGAACAGUUAGGAAUAUUUUGUUAACAUAAGGUACUUUCCCUACCUGCGAAGUGGUAUAGUAUUAUCUCAAAGUGGACUUAGGUUAGUUGUAAAUGUAUUGCAAACCCUAGGACAAUGGCUAGAAAAAGCAAAAAAAACCCAAAAAAAGUGUAAUUGCUAUGCUAAGAAAGGAGAGAAAAUGAAAUUACAUAAAAUGCUUAAUUAAAAGUACAAAAGGCAGAAAACAUGUGGAAGACAAAAAUGGGACUAAAGAACAAGGCAGCAAGUAGGAAAAAGUAUCAAAUAGAAAAUAGUAACAAAUAUGGUAAAUAUUAAUGAAGCUAUUGAUAAUCAUUUCAAAUGUUAAUGUUCUAAAUGAAAAUAAAAAACAGAGAUUAUCAGAAUGUAUCAACAAACAAGACCUAAUUAUGCACUGUUUACAAGAAACCCACUUUAAAUAUAAAGACAUAUAUAAAUUAAAAGUAAAGGGAUCGAGAAAGAUAUAUCAUAACACUAACAGAAGAAAGUGGGAGUAGCUAUAUUAAUUUCACCUAGGGCAGACUUCAGAGCAAGGAAAUUUAUUAGGGAUAAACAGAGGCACCACAAAUGAUAAGGGGUCAAUACUCCAAGAAGACAGAACAAUCCUUAAUGUGUAUGCACAACAACAGAGCAUCAAAAUAUGUGAAGCAAAAAUUGAUAGAACUGCAGGGAAAACAGAUGAAUCCAGUAUCACAGUUGGAGAUUUCUCUCCAACAUCCCUCUAUCAGAAAUCAACAGGUCCAGGACGCAGAAAAUAAGUAAAGCUGUAGUUGAACUCAACAGCACCAUUAAUUAACUGGAUAUAAUUAACGUCUAUAAACUACUUCAUCCAACAAGAGCAGAUUACACAUUAUUCUCAGGCUCACAUGGAACAUUCACCAAAUAGACCACAUUCUGAGCCGUAAGAUGUACUUUAACAAAUUUAAGAGUAGAGAUCAUACAAUGUAUGUUCUUAGACUACAAUGGAAUUAAACUAGAAAUCAAUAACAGAAAGAUAGUUAGAAAACCUCAAAAUACUUAGAAAUUAAGCAAUAUACAUUUUUUUAGGAAGAUUAGCUCUGAAAUAACAUCUGCUGCCAAUCCUCCUCUUUUUGCUGAGGAAGACUGGCCCUAAGCUAACAUUCAUGCCCAUCUUCCUCUGUUUUAUAUGUGGGAUGCCUAUCCACAGCAUAGCUUGACAAACAGUGCCAUGUCCGCACUCGGGAUCCAUGCUGGCAAACCCUGAGCCGCCGAAACGGAACAUAUGCACUUAACUGCUGCGCCACUGGGCCAGCCUGCAAUGUA
rnacentral:lncRNA from 1 species